rnacentral:rRNA from 1 species
CCUACGGGAGGCAGCAGUGAGGAAUAUUGGACAAUGGGCGCAAGCCUGAUCCAGCGACGCCGCGUGAGUGAUGAAGGCCUUUGGGUCGUAAAGCUCUGUCAGCAGGGAAGAACGGCCGUGUGGUUAAUACCCAUGCGGAUUGACGGUACCUGCAGAGGAAGCACCGGCU